GUUGAAUUAUAUAUAUGUUUAUUAAUGCUCUAUAGAGGAAGAAGAAGAAGAAGAAGAAGGGUCCCAAUACAGUCUCAAAAAUCUCUGCAGCAUGUGUAAAAGUACUUAUCACAUCAGCUUUUACAAAGAGUUUGUGAAUUGUGAUUGCUUUUGAUACCUUGCAUAGAGAAAAUGAAGCCGCUGAAAAGAAUCUAGAAAUUAUAGAAACUGAUGCUCAGAACUGGAUGUCAGAGAUCGAUAAAAUCACUGCAGAAGCUGAAAAUUCUUUGGAGGAUGAAGUCAAAGCAAACAAGAGGUGUCUCAGUGAAUCCCCGACAACGUAACUAACUCAAUAAACAGAUUUGUUAAAGGCAUUUUAUGCAACAUGGUUGAUGAAAUGCUUGUGAGGAAUGGUUUCUUACCCGUGGUGAGUUUGUUGUCAAAUGGUUCAAAGAAGCAUAAUUGAAGCCACUACUUGGUACUGAUUGGUUUGCUUGCUUGCUUGCAAACAAAUGAGAAUUACGGUCUGACGUGAGUGCCUGAGCAGACCCCAUUUAAUUAGUUUUAGAACCCAGGCUGAACUUACUAUACAAGCUUCCAUGACUGCAACAGAUGGU